rnacentral:rRNA from 1 species
AACGAACGCUGGCGGCAGGCCUAACACAUGCAAGUCGAGCGCGCCCUUCGGGGUGAGCGGCGGACGGGUGAGUAACGCGUGGGAACGUGCCCUUUUCUACGGAAUAGCCUCGGGAAACUGAGAGUAAUACCGUAUACGCCCUUUGGGGGAAAGGUUUAUCGGAAAAGGAUCGGGCCGCGUUGGUUUAGGUAGGUGGUGGGGUAAUGGCCUACCAAGCCGACGAUCCAUAGCUGGUUUGAGAGGAUGGUCAGCCACGCAGGGACCGAGAAAAGGCCCAGACUCCCACCGGAAGACGCAAGUGGGAAUCUUUGACAAUGGGGGCAACCCUGAUCGAGCCAUGCCGCGUGAGUGAUGAAGGCCUUAGGGUUGUAAAGCUCUUUCAGCUGGGAAGAUAAUGACGGUACCAGCAGAAGAAGCCCCGGCUAACUCCGUG